GACGAACGCUGGCGGCGUGCCUAAUACAUGCAAGUUGAGCGCUGAAGGUUGGUCCUUGUACCAACUGGAUGAGCAGCGAACGGGUGAGUAACGCGUGGGGAAUCUGCCUUUGAGCGGGGGACAACAUUUGGAAACGAAUGCUAAUACCGCAUAAAAACUUUAAACACAAGUUUUAAGUUUGAAAGAUGCAAUUGCAUCACUCAAAGAUGAUCCCGCGUUGUAUUAGCUAGUUGGUGAGGUAAAGGCUCACCAAGGCGAUGAUACAUAGCCGACCUGAGAGGGUGAUCGGCCAAAUUGGGAAUGAGAAACGGCCCAAACUACUACGGGAGGCAGCAGUAGGGAAUCUUCGGAAAUGGACGAAAGUCUGACCGAGCAACGCCGCGUGAGUGAAGAAGGUUUUCGGAUCGUAAAACUCUGUUGGUAGAGAAGAACGUUGGUGAGAGUGGAAAGCUCAUCAAGUGACGGUAACUACCCAGAAAGGGACGGCUAACUACGUG
rnacentral:rRNA from 1 species